GCAUAUCAAUAAGCGGAGGAAAAGAAACCAACUGGGAUUACCUUAGUAACGGCGAGUGAAGCGGUAAAAGCUCAAAUUUGAAAUCUGGUACUUUCAGUGCCCGAGUUGUAAUUUGUAGAAUUUGUCUUUGAUUAGGUCCUUGUCUAUGUUCCUUGGAACAGGACGUCAUAGAGGGUGAGAAUCCCGUUUGGCGAGGAUACCUUUUCUCUGUAAGACUUUUUCGAAGAGUCGAGUUGUUUGGGAAUGCAGCUCAAAGUGGGUGGUAAAUUCCAUCUAAAGCUAAAUAUUGGCGAGAGACCGAUAGCGAACAAGUACAGUGAUGGAAAGAUGAAAAGAACUUUGAAAAGAGAGUGAAAAAGUACGUGAAAUUGUUGAAAGGGAAGGGCAUUUGAUCAGACAUGGUGUUUUUUUAAUGUGCAAGUCUCUCGUGGACAUGUGCCUCUGGAAAUUAACACUGGGCCAACAUCAGUUCUGGCGGCAGGAUAAAUCAUUAAGAAUGUAGCUACCUCGGUAGUGUUAUAGCUUUUUGGAAUACUGCCAGCCUGGGAUUGAGGACUGCGCUCGGCAAGGAUGUGC
rnacentral:rRNA from 2 species